GGCCAAAAGUGGCAACGAAAACUAGACACGUUAUACAUAUAUUAGUUACAGGUAGAGACAAUGAACGACAGCUGUUGAGGCUAAAUAAAUCAAGUAGCUCCAAAGUUUCUUUGCAGAAUUUUGAAAAAAGACAACUCAAAAUCUUUAAAUACGAUCACACAGAGAGAAAGAUGACAACUCCACUCGAAAUUAAAUACCACACUCUCCUGCAUAUGGCUCUGCUCAUUGCCAGCUCCACUAAAACUCCAAACAGGCCAGGUAAAAAAACAUGUGGGCAAUGCUAUAUUGCUUUGUCAAUAGGCAUUUUCUCCACUUACCUAUUUAAAGAAAGUGUCUUGAUCAAAAGAUAGUACUCCAUCCCAAAAUAAGUGUCCGUUUAGAAAAUUUCAGACACACUAGUAGUGGUGAGAAAUAU
rnacentral:lncRNA from 1 species